CUUUUGGUUGUAUAUAUUUAAGAUUGGAUUUUCAGAUCCCGCUUGCGGCCACUGCAUUUGUGUCGGUUUGAUUCCUAUUUCAUCCUCUCAUCCCUUCCUCUCUAAUUCUUUCCCUCUGCAUUUUCCUUUCAAUACUUCGCCUUCCCUCCGAUCUCUGCCAUUUUUUUCACUCUACUCUGAUCUCUUUCUCCCCUUUCGUUUCCGCCAUUGAUUUUCCUUUCUGGGUUUGAUCUGUUUCUCAGAUCCCCCUUCUCGAUCUCGCUUCCCCUGUUUCCUCUGUCUCUGAUCGACUCUUUGCGAGAUACCCAUCGUUUGAUUCUCUGAUCUCUAAUCGUUUCACUCACUACCCACUUCGAGUUUCGUGUUUUUGAAAUCUGGGUUUUUCUUAGAUCUCUCCAAUACCAACGGAUGAUGAUGGAUCCAAGCGAUAGAGUAUCGGAAUCGGAGGACAUAUCCAGCAAAAACUCCGGCGGGGUAUCAUCGGAGGAGAGUCAAGUGAACGAGCAGAACAAGAAGACCUGUGCUGACUGCGGCACUUCAAAAACCCCCUUAUGGAGAGGCGGCCCAGCUGGUCCAAAGUCUCUCUGCAAUGCGUGUGGGAUUAGAAGUAGGAAGAAGAGGAGAGCGAUUUUGGGGUUAAGCAAAGGAGUUGUUGAGGAUAAGAAGAACAAAAGGAGCAAUAGUUGCAACAAUAUUAGCAAUAGUAAGCUAAGAGAUAGCUUGAAACAGAGGCUCAUGGCUUUGGGGAGAGAGGUUUUGAUGCAGAGAUAUAGCGUUGAGAGGCAGAGGAAGAAGCUGGGAGAGGAAGAACAAGCUGCUGUGUUGUUAAUGGCGCUCUCAUAUGGGUCUGUUUUCGCUUGAAAACAGCCAUUAACGAAGAUCAGAAAGAGCAAUAAAGAAGAAACCAAAAUCUAACCUAGAAGAAGAAGAAGAAGUAUAUUGAGUGAAAUUCUGUUAGUUCUUUAUUAUUCCUAUAGAUCUCUCUAUCUUUUUUGUUGUAUUAACUAACCAUUGUUUUUUGGAUGUUGGAGAGUAUUAUGAGUAAUGUAGUGUUGUGGUGAAGAGUUUGAUAAUGAAUUUUGUUGAGCAUUGUCAUUGCUGAU